ACCAACCUUACAGGGAGCCAGAACACAAGGGAAGAAGCCCUCUAAAGCAGAAGAUUUCCCAAGAGCCCAGGGAACUUCCGCUUACACCAGUAACGCAGGCAACCGUCAGGAGCGCGUGCGCAGAACCUCAUUCCCACAGCAACCCUCGCCCAACGAGGGCCUGGCCGGCCCAAACCGAUCUACCGCCCUCCCGAGGACUCACCGAGAAGUAUCCCAGCGUCAGGGCUGUGACAAGCGAGGGCAAGGGUCUGGCUACACGGAAGUAGGAGGUCUCGGCCCUCCCCACCCCAUCCAAACGCGCUGGAGCCAGGACUGCGCCUGCGCUGAACCCCUGCAGGCGAGUCCUGAGACCUUGCAGCACUAGCUCCGCUCCCUGGAUGGGUGGCCCUUGCCCUUACCGUGUAGUAGCCAAAGGAGAGGGUAAUGACUGUGAACCAGAACAGACUGCCCCUCCGGAAGUAGGCUGCACCACCUGCUACGGUCGCCAUCGCUGCAGCAUCUCCAGGGGAAUGAGCGGCCACCCACUUACGCGCGGGGGUGGGAGCUGGGUCGGACCUGGGAUGGGCGAGGGAGAGGCGUGCGCCACCGCGCGGGGUGAAGACAGAAAUCAGUCUCUCUAGUGCAUUCCUUCCUCCUCUCUCUCUUUGGCACCUGGGAUUGAACCCUGGGGCUCUCAACCUCUUGGAUCUUCUGAAUAAGUAUUUUCUCAGCUUUCCUUUUACUUCUUAUCCCCCAGAUUCAAGGUUGCCUGUGUUCUCUGUGCUUUCUGUACAUUUGAGAUUCAAUUUUCAUCUUCUUUUUCAUGACUCUAAAAUGCUCUUUCUAAUCUUGACGUCUCCCCAGAUAUCUGCUAGUCGUUUCACCAAAUAACCUGCACACAUCAAAAACAGAGUCUACGCUCACAAUUCACAGUCAGUUCUGACUACAGCUCCCCUAUUUAUGUAAAUAGCACUCUCCUUCUACGCUGUACCCCCCAUACCUAGUUAACUGUAGAGAAUCCUCUUGUUGGGGUAACAUGACAUCUCAUUCUUUUGGAUUAAACCAUGGUUUGUUUAAUCCCCA